CCCUUGCGCGGCGGCCUUGUCCUCCUCCCGCUGCUGCACGGCGGUCCCAGCGUAGCCGAGCGGCGCCCGGAGACGGGCGGGGAGCUGGGCCUUCCAGAAGUCGAGCGUGGCGAAGGGCGCUUGCGCCGGCGCCGGUGCAGCGGCACUGCCGUCGGCGGUGGCGACGAGACCGGCGGCCCAGCGCGGGCGCCAGGCCCAGCCGAGCAGAAGGCCGAUGAGGGCCGCCGCCCAGAGGGGCCCCGCGAGGAGCGCCAUCUCCCAGACCGCCCCCCACGCCGUGGGCUGCUCCAGCACCCUCGCCACCGCCGACAGCACGUACCCCAUCGGAGCCGACCGGGCGGGCGGCGACGGCGUGGGGGGACGGACGCGGCGGUGCGGAUGGGGGGUGUGGGGAGGAGAAGAGGGGCAGGAAGGAAGGAACGGGGCUUUGCGGCCUACGGAG
rnacentral:lncRNA from 1 species